CCUCUCCCCACAGCCCCUGUGCGCUGUGUCUGCACAGUUCUGCUCUCCGGCCUAGGCCGCCUGGCCUCCUUUCUCUAACCGCUUCUGGGCUGGAAGGGGUGUUGGUGGGGUGGCACUAACCAUCAGGCCUGCGGCCUCCUGAGCCAGCCGGAGGCCCCAGGUCACUGAAGAGGGUCCUGGGAGAGGCCACACCUGCCCUGCGCCUUUCUCCGAGGUGCUUCAGAACAAUUUCCAACUUCACGCUGGGCUCUCAGUGGGGAGGGGCGUGAGGACGAACUGGGCAAGGCCUGUGGAAGCCCCCCUAGUCAACCUCAACACCCCUUCCUCUGGGAAGCUCUCUGGAUGCAUGCUGCCCUUGGACACAAAGGGGAAGCUGCAGUCCACAAUUUUCAACUGCCCUUGGGCCACACCCAUCUGGAACGGAGUGGAGGGGCUCUGAGCUCCUACUGGAGCCUGUUCACGAGUCGUGUUGCCACAGGCAGGUGGGCCUGGGGGCACAGCGAACCCCACAGGGGGCUCCUGUGGGCCUGGGCUUGGGCUAAGCAGGACACUACAGCCCAAGAUGGUGUUGGGUAGUGAGGAGGGAGCUAGAAGCCCUGGGACCCAGCAGUGUCCAUGCCAAGAGGUGGCAGUGGCAGGUUCUGGCCAGAUCCAGUGGCUUCUGAGGCUUGAAGCACGGGCUCAGGGGCACUAAUGCCCCAGGGCAGGCCUGGAUCCCUGGCAUAGCAGCAUAGACUCAGCUGCUUCUGUCAGUCCCCUUGGGGCCACCAUCUCCCCACAUAAAGACUGGGCAUGGCGUGUCCUGGCAAGGCUAGGACAGGUCAGUGGGCCCAAAGCAGAGCACCCCACACCACCGUGAGAGUCUCCCUGGGUUGGCCGUAGGCCCUGCACAUCCUCCCAGGCACUCAGCAGACAGCCCUCAGUCCCGGCCUGGGGAGCUCUGUCCACGGCAGUACAGGGUGCAGAGGGGCUCUUGGGACUCUGGGCAUACAUGGCCACAGCCCUGGUCCUCCCUGUGAUACCCGCAGCUGCAGCUGCUGAGCUGUGCACCAGACCCCAAGGUCAGCCCUUUAUGGGCACCUGUGAGGUAGGUGUCCCUGUCUCAUCCUACAGAGGAAGAAACUAAGGCCCAGAAAGGCUGCCUUCUGACCAGGGUUACCAACUGAGAGGUGGCAGCCCCAGGAUCUUCAGAUCACGGUCUGUUGGAGAGGCCCUGAGACAGGAGGCAUUCGCUAGGCCCUACCCAGUUUGCUGCCUGCUACAAAGUGCUCUCUGGGCUCCUGGUGGCCAGUGUAAAGCCCAAGGCCCCCUUUGCCUCCCAGGUUCCUGACAGCCUGCCCAGAAAGGCCAGGUCGGCCUGUGGCAGAAGGUUCUAGGUGCUGUGUCCUGAGCUGGCCUGUCAGAGGCAGCAGCUAGGAUUCUCUGCCAGGGAUCUGUGGAUCCCCCCUGGGACCAUAGGGAAACAGAUUCUCCAGGGAGAAUAAGAAAUGUUUGUUUUCACUUUACUCUAAAAGAGAAUCCCCUUACCACUUACAAUAAUAAAACUAUCUUGGGAUAA